CCUACGGGUUGCAGCAGUGGGGAAUUUUGGACAAUGGGCGAAAGCCUGAUCCAGCCAUUCCGCGUGUGUGAUGAAGGCCUUCGGGUUGUAAAGCACUUUUGUCAGGGAAGAAACAGCGAUGAAUAAUACUUGUCGCGAAUGACGGUACCUGAAGAAUAAGCACCGGCUAACUACGUGCCAGCAGCCGCGGUAAUACGUAGGGUGCAAGCGUUAAUCGGAAUUACUGGGCGUAAAGCGUGCGCAGGCGGUUCGGAAAGAAAGAUGUGAAAUCCCAGAGCUCAACUUUGGAACUGCAUUUUUAACUACCGGACUAGAGUGUGUCAGAGGGGGGUGGAAUUCCGCGUGUAGCAGUGAAAUGCGUAGAGAUGCGGAGGAACACCGAUGGCGAAGGCAGCCCCCUGGGAUAACACUGACGCUCAUGUACGAAAGCGUGGGUAGCAAACAGGAUUAGAUACCCUCGUAGUC
rnacentral:rRNA from 1 species